UAGGGAAUCUUCCGCAAUGGGCGAAAGCCUGACGGAGCAACGCCGCGUGAGUGAUGAAGGUCUUCGGAUCGUAAAACUCUGUUAUUAGGGAAGAACAAAUGUGUAAGUAACUAUGCACGUCUUGACGGUACCUAAUCAGAAAGCCACGGCUAACUACGUGCCAGCAGCCGCGGUAAUACGUAGGUGGCAAGCGGUAUCCGGAAGUAUUGGGCGUAAAGGGCGCGUAGGCGGUUUUUUAAGUCUGAUGUGAAAGCCCACGGCUAAACCGUGGAGGGUCAUUGGAAACUGGAAAACUUGAGUGCAGAAGAGGAAAGUGGAAUUCCAUGUGUAGCGGUGAAAUGCGCAGAGAUAUGGGGGAACACCAGUGGCGAAGGCGACUUUCUGGUCUGUAACUGACGCUGAUGUGCGAAAGCGUGGGGAUCAAACAGG
rnacentral:rRNA from 1 species